GCCAGUGUGGUGCAAUGGUUUGAGCACUGGACUAUGACUCCUGAAGCCAGGGUUGAAUCCCCGCUCAAUCC